rnacentral:misc_RNA from 1 species
GAUGAAGAACGUAGCGAAAUGCGAUAAGUAAUGUGAAUUGCAGAAUUCAGUGAAUCAUCGAAUCUUUGAACGCACCUUGCGCCUUUUGGUAUUCCGAAAGGCAUGCCUGUUUGAGUGUCAUGAAAUCUCAAUCCCCUCGGGUUUAUGAUCCGGGUGGGACUUGGACUUGGGCGUCUGCCGGUUACACGGCUCGCCUCAAAUGACUUAGUGGAUCUCUCUGCAUCCGUGACAGACGUAAUAAGUUUCGUCUUGUCCCUUGCUGGAUGAGUCUGCUCAGAACCUGCCAUUGCGCACUUUUAGACUCUGACCUCAAAUCAGGUAGGACUACCCGCUGAGCUUAAGCAUAUCAAUAAGCGGAGGA